rfam:Rattus norvegicus chromosome 6, whole genome shotgun sequence.
AUGUGAAGGCAAUCUGGCUGUGACAUCUGCCACCCCAUUGAUGACCAGGAUUGAUUCAGCUGAUCUGACUGGCUAGGAGAGUGACCCCCUCAUACAUCCCAGCU